AUUGAACGCUGGCGGCAUGCUUUACACAUGCAAGUCGAACGGUAGCGCGGGCUUUUGCCUUGCUGCGACUGUCGAACGGGGGUGUAAUGCAUCUGAACGUUCCCCGUCGUGGUGGAUAGUCCGGCCUAAGCCCGAUUAAUACCGCAUGCUACCUGCUGGUGAAAGCUGUUGACCGGCAGGCCUCGCCCUCGUUGAGCGACCGGUGCCGGAUUUGCCAGCUUGUUGGUGAAAUGCCUGCCAAGGCGACGAUCCGUAGCUGGUCUGCGAGGACGACCAGCCACACUGGGACUGAGACACGGCCCAGACUCCUAAGGGAGGCAGCAGUGGGGAAUUUUGGACAAUGGGGGCGAACCUGAUCCAACCAUGGCGAGUGCGGGAAGGAGGCCUUCGGGUUGUAAACAGCUUUUGUUCGGGAAGAAAUCCUUUGGGCUAAUAACCCGGGGAGAUGACGGUACCGGAAGAAUAAGCACCGGCUAACUACGUG
rnacentral:rRNA from 1 species